CAUUUAUUGAGAACGAGGUGAGAGACCAGGCUCCACGACCCUCUGGCAACCGCAAUACUUGUUGCAUGGUGCCAAUACCUGUCCUGCACAUGCGGGAAUAAUAAACU
rnacentral:ncRNA from 1 species